CCUACGGGUGGCAGCAGUGAGGAAUAUUGGUCAAUGGACGAGAGUCUGAACCAGCCAAGUAGCGUGAAGGAUGACUGCCCUAUGGGUUGUAAACUUCUUUUAUAUGGGAAUAAAAUGUUCCACGUGUGGGAUUUUGUAUGUACCAUAUGAAUAGGGAUCGGCUAACUCCGUGCCAGCAGCCGCGGUAAUACGGAGGAUCCGAGCGUUAUCCGGAUUUAUUGGGAUUAAAGGGAGCGUAGGUGGAUUGUUAAGUCAGUUGUGAAAGUUUGCGGCUCAACCGUAAAAUUGCAGUUGAAACUGGCAGUCUUGAGUACAGUAGAGGUGGGCGGAAUUCGUGGUGUAGCGGUGAAAUGCUUAGAUAUCACGAAGAACUCCGAUUGCGAAGGCAGUUCACUGGACUGCAACUGACACUGAGGCUCGAAAGUGUGGGUAUCAAACAGGAUUAGAUACCCGUGUAGUC
rnacentral:rRNA from 1 species